rnacentral:ribozyme from 14 species
GUGUGUGCAGAGGAACGUCCGAGCUUCCAGCAGGAAGCAUCCUGUGAAGCUUGUUGUGUUCGACUUCGACGAGACGCUCACGUUG